rnacentral:rRNA from 1 species
CCCAGACUCCUACGGGAGGCAGCAGUGGGGAAUAUUGCACAAUGGGGGAAACCCUGAUGCAGCGACGCCGCGUGAGUGAAGAAGUAUUUCGGUAUGUAAAGCUCUAUCAGCAGGGAAGAAAAUGACGGUACCUGACUAAGAAGCCCCGGCUAACUACGUGCCAGCAGCCGCGGUAAUACGUAGGGGGCGAGCGUUAUCCGGAUUUACUGGGUGUAAAGGGAGCGUAGACGGCUGGUCAAGUCUGAAGUGAAAGCCCGGGGCUUAACCCCGGAACGGCUUUGGAAACUGAGCAGCUAGAGUGCUGGAGAGGUAAGCGGAAUUCCUAGUGUAGCGGUGAAAUGCGUAGAUAUUAGGAGGAACACCAGUGGCGAAGGCGGCUUACUGGACAGUAACUGACGUUGAGGCUCGAAAGCGUGGGGAGCACACAGGAUUAGAUACCCCUGUAA